UAAGACUUAAAAAAAACUUAGGCUUUUAUUUUUUUUCUUCUCGAAGACAAACUCUCGGAGAAAAAAACAGUGUUUGCCGCCGGCGAUUCCUCAGCCUUCUCUCGAGCGUUGUCGCCGGUGAGUCGUCAGCCGUCUUGCUUUCUCUUGAUAUCAGUUUGAAGCCUCCUACCCGCUCUUAAAUUCUGUCAUAUGCUUAAUCUAAGCAUGGAUUUGAUAAACGAUGGGAACGUCAAAGAGGCGCGCAUGAAGAUUGCUGUAGACCUUUGGGAGGAUGCUCAUGAUCCUAUCUUAAUUGAGCGAAUGAAGAACUAUAAACCUCCACAUCAAUCGUCGGAUAUCCUUGAAAUUGAUUGAGAUUAAUUAGCAUUAUGGUUUUUUUUAUCGUCCAAACAGAUUAUGUACUAGUCUUGCGACAUCUAGUUUGUAUGACCUUUGUUUUUUUCUUUUCUAAUUAUUUAGGCGUUUGUAUGACCUUUGAUCAAUAAUUGAUUCUCUCAAAAUUCUCUAUUUCA